CUAGAAGUACACGAGCAACGGAAGUUAAAAAAUCGGGCAAGAUUGAACGCAAAGGCAAGCGGGACAUUUGAGGAUGGGGUGACUGCGUACCUUUUGUAUAAUGGGUCAGCGACUUAUAUUCUGUAGCAAGGUUAACCGUAUAGGGGAGCCGUAGGGAAACCGAGUCUUAACUGGGCGAAUGAGUUGCAGGGUAUAGACCCGAAACCCGGUGAUCUAUCCAUGGGCAGGUUGAAGGUUGGGUAACACUAACUGGAG
rnacentral:rRNA from 1 species